GACGAACGCUGGCGGCGUGCUUAACACAUGCAAGUCGAACGGAAAGGCCCUGCUUGCAGGGUACUCGAGUGGCGAACGGGUGAGUAACACGUGGGUGAUCUGCCCUGCACUUCGGGAUAAGCCUGGGAAACUGGGUCUAAUACCGGAUAGGAGCCAUUUUUAGUGUGAUGGUUGGAAAGUUUUUUCGGUGUAGGAUGAGCUCGCGGCCUAUCAGCUUGUUGGUGGGGUAAUGGCCUACCAAGGCGGCGACGGGUAGCCGGCCUGAGAGGGUGGACGGCCACAUUGGGACUGAGAUACGGCCCAGACUCCUACGGGAGGCAGCAGGGGGGAAUAUUGCACAAUGGGAGCAAGCCUGAUGCAGCGACGCCGCGUGGGGGAUGACGGCCUUCGGGUUGUAAACUCCUUUCGCUAGGGACGAAGCUUUUUGUGACGGUACCUAGAUGAGAAGCACCGGCUAACUACGUG
rnacentral:rRNA from 1 species